AGCGUACACGGUGGAUGCCCUGGCAGUCAGAGGCGAUGAAGGACGUGCUAAUCUGCGAUAAGCGUCGGUAAGGUGAUAUGAACCGUUAUAACCGGCGAUUUCCGAAUGGGGAAACCCAGUGUGAUUCGUCACACUAUCAUUAACUGAAUCCAUAGGUUAAUGAGGCGAACCGGGGGAACUGAAACAUCUAAGUACCCCGAGGAAAAGAAAUCAACCGAGAUUCCCCCAGUAGCGGCGAGCGAACGGGGAGCAGCCCAGAGCCUGAAUCAGUGUGUGUGUUAGUGGAAGCGUCUGGAAAGGCGCGCGAUACAGGGUGACAGCCCCGUACACAAAAAUGCACAUGCUGUGAGCUCGAUGAGUAGGGCGGGACACGUGGUAUCCUGUCUGAAUAUGGGGGGACCAUCCUCCAAGGCUAAAUACUCCUGACUGACCGAUAGUGAACCAGUACCGUGAGGGAAAGGCGAAAAGAACCCCGGCGAGGGGAGUGAAAAAGAACCUGAAACCGUGUACGUACAAGCAGUGGGAGCACAGAGCAAUCUGUGUGACUGCGUACCUUUUGUAUAAUGGGUCAGCGACUUAUAUUCUGUAGCAAGGUUAACCGAAUAGGGGAGCCGAAGGGAAACCGAGUCUUAACUGGGCGUUAAGUUGCAGGGUAUAGACCCGAAACCCGGUGAUCUAGCCAUGGGCAGGUUGAAGGUUGGGUAACACUAACUGGAGGACCGAACCGACUAAUGUUGAAAAAUUAGCGGAUGACUUGUGGCUGGGGGUGAAAGGCCAAUCAAACCGGGAGAUAGCUGGUUCUCCCCGAAAGCUAUUUAGGUAGCGCCUCGUGAAUUCAUCUCCGGGGGUAGAGCACUGUUUCGGCAAGGGGGUCAUCCCGACUUACCAACCCGAUGCAAACUGCGAAUACCGGAGAAUGUUAUCACGGGAGACACACGGCGGGUGCUAACGUCCGUCGUGAAGAGGGAAACAACCCAGACCGCCAGCUAAGGUCCCAAAGUCAUGGUUAAGUGGGAAACGAUGUGGGAAGGCCCAGACAGCCAGGAUGUUGGCUUAGAAGCAGCCAUCAUUUAAAGAAAGCGUAAUAGCUCACUGGUCGAGUCGGCCUGCGCGGAAGAUGUAACGGGGCUAAACCAUGCACCGAAGCUGCGGCAGCGACGCUUAUGCGUUGUUGGGUAGGGGAGCGUUCUGUAAGCCUGUGAAGGUGUACUGUGAGGUAUGCUGGAGGUAUCAGAAGUGCGAAUGCUGACAUAAGUAACGAUAAAGCGGGUGAAAAGCCCGCUCGCCGGAAGACCAAGGGUUCCUGUCCAACGUUAAUCGGGGCAGGGUGAGUCGACCCCUAAGGCGAGGCCGAAAGGCGUAGUCGAUGGGAAACAGGUUAAUAUUCCUGUACUUGGUGUUACUGCGAAGGGGGGACGGAGAAGGCUAUGUUGGCCGGGCGACGGUUGUCCCGGUUUAAGCGUGUAGGCUGGUUUUCCAGGCAAAUCCGGAAAAUCAAGGCUGAGGCGUGAUGACGAGGCACUACGGUGCUGAAGCAACAAAUGCCCUGCUUCCAGGAAAAGCCUCUAAGCAUCAGGUAACAUCAAAUCGUACCCCAAACCGACACAGGUGGUCAGGUAGAGAAUACCAAGGCGCUUGAGAGAACUCGGGUGAAGGAACUAGGCAAAAUGGUGCCGUAACUUCGGGAGAAGGCACGCUGAUAUGUAGGUGAAGCGACUUGCUCGUGGAGCUGAAAUCAGUCGAAGAUACCAGCUGGCUGCAACUGUUUAUUAAAAACACAGCACUGUGCAAACACGAAAGUGGACGUAUACGGUGUGACGCCUGCCCGGUGCCGGAAGGUUAAUUGAUGGGGUUAGCGCAAGCGAAGCUCUUGAUCGAAGCCCCGGUAAACGGCGGCCGUAACUAUAACGGUCCUAAGGUAGCGAAAUUCCUUGUCGGGUAAGUUCCGACCUGCACGAAUGGCGUAAUGAUGGCCAGGCUGUCUCCACCCGAGACUCAGUGAAAUUGAACUCGCUGUGAAGAUGCAGUGUACCCGCGGCAAGACGGAAAGACCCCGUGAACCUUUACUAUAGCUUGACACUGAACAUUGAGCCUUGAUGUGUAGGAUAGGUGGGAGGCUUUGAAGUGUGGACGCCAGUCUGCAUGGAGCCGACCUUGAAAUACCACCCUUUAAUGUUUGAUGUUCUAACGUUGACCCGUAAUCCGGGUUGCGGACAGUGUCUGGUGGGUAGUUUGACUGGGGCGGUCUCCUCCUAAAGAGUAACGGAGGAGCACGAAGGUUGGCUAAUCCUGGUCGGACAUCAGGAGGUUAGUGCAAUGGCAUAAGCCAGCUUGACUGCGAGCGUGACGGCGCGAGCAGGUGCGAAAGCAGGUCAUAGUGAUCCGGUGGUUCUGAAUGGAAGGGCCAUCGCUCAACGGAUAAAAGGUACUCCGGGGAUAACAGGCUGAUACCGCCCAAGAGUUCAUAUCGACGGCGGUGUUUGGCACCUCGAUGUCGGCUCAUCACAUCCUGGGGCUGAAGUAGGUCCCAAGGGUAUGGCUGUUCGCCAUUUAAAGUGGUACGCGAGCUGGGUUUAGAACGUCGUGAGACAGUUCGGUCCCUAUCUGCCGUGGGCGCUGGAGAACUGAGGGGGGCUGCUCCUAGUACGAGAGGACCGGAGUGGACGCAUCACUGGUGUUCGGGUUGUCAUGCCAAUGGCACUGCCCGGUAGCUAAAUGCGGAAGAGAUAAGUGCUGAAAGCAUCUAAGCACGAAACUUGCCCCGAGAUGAGUUCUCCCUGACUCCUUGA
rnacentral:rRNA from 1 species